rnacentral:rRNA from 1 species
UACGUAGGAGACUAGCGUUGUCCGGAAUUACUGGGUGUAAAGCGCGUGUAGGCGGCAUACCAAGUCUGUUGUGAAAUCGCCCGGCUCAACUGGGCGGGGUCAAUGGAAACUGGUAAGCUGGAGGACGGUAGAGGCGAGUGGAAUUCCCGGUGUAGUGGUGAAAUGCGUAGAGAUCGGGAGGAACACCUGUGGCGAAGGCGGCUCUCUGGACCACAACUGACGCUGAGGCGCGAAAGCUAGGGGAGCAAACAGG